UUCUACAACCAUGCCACCCUGAACAAACCCGAUCCCAUCUGAUCUCGGAAGCUAAGCAGGGUGGGGACUGGUUAGUACUUGGAUGGGAGACCACCUAGGAAGAUCAGGUGCUAUAGGCA
rfam:Pteropus alecto contig22141, whole genome shotgun sequence.